rnacentral:lncRNA from 1 species
CCUGAUUCUGUGUGGGUAAUCAGCGUUCAAGUUCCGGAUUCUAUGUCAAGAGGUGUUGAAUGAAAAAUAGGUGAAAUCUUAUGGCUGCAAAAAUUACUGUGCUGACUUUGAAAUGAUGUCUUUAAAAAUUCCUUUAGACUUACAUUUUUCUGAUGAUACCCACUUUUCAAAGUACGGAAAGCAGCAAAGCACCAAGUAAGGGGCCAGCAUCUCACAGGACCCCAGCAUGAGGAAACCAGGUCACUUGGCUGGAGAACAGUUCUCAUUCUGGGGUUCCCUUGGCUUUCUUGCGACAUGAGAGAAGCCCGUCUUGGCCCAUUCAGGCUGCUGUAACCAAACACUGCAGACUGGACGGCUUAUCCACAGCAGAAACGUGUCCUUUACAGUUCUGGAGCCUGGAAGCCUGUGAUCAGAGUCCUGGUGUGGCCAGCCGAUAA